ensembl:lncRNA
GUGUGUGUGUGUGUGUGUGUGUGUGUGUGUGUGUGUGUGUGUGUGUGUGUGUGUGUUGUAGUGUGUGUGUGUGUGUGUGUGUGUGUGUGUGUGUGUGUGUGUGUGUGUGUGUGUGUGUGUGUGUGUGUGUGUGUGCGUUGGUGCACAUGCUAUAUCUGAACCCUAGUAGCCCCCAUUUCACCACAAGUACUUGCUUGAUUAUUUUUUGUAUUUUUGUGGAAUGGCAUGCAUGUAUCAUCUAAUCUAUUAUCAUGCAAUAGCAUACAUAUUAUAUUUAUAACAGAUAUCGAUAUAUUGUAUGCAGUAUUUAUAGAAGCACAAAUGUGCUGAACACUGACUUAAUAGAAAAUAUUGGAUUCAUAAUUAGAGUUGAACUAAAGACAGGGGAUUUUUUUUUAGAUGAUUUUUCUUAAACCUUUUAUUGCCAUCCAUUGAUUGGAAUUACUUGCCAUUUAAACACUGUGUAUAUAUUCAGUCAGUUUGGAAGCACAUCAAAAUAAUAUUUGUUUUGUUGCAUUGUCCUGGACAGAUUGAUUCAUAGGCAGUUGACUCUGCUGUAUGUAUCGAUGCAUGUAUGAUAUUGUAUGCAUGUAUGUAUUCGGUUUUGCAGUACAUCGGCCCCAUAUUAUGCACACAUAUGUACAUGGCUGCACGCGGUAUAGCCGGGCUCGCUAGGGGUUAGUCCCACACUGACCCAGCCGACCGCACACCCCACCACGAGCCCACCCUCUCUAGGACCCUGGAGGCCAGCAUUCCGCCCUCCGUGCGGACGCUUAUCAUCACAAAGGACAGAAUGCAUAAAACAUGGAGGAUACAUAGACACACAGGCUGCCCAGGUUGCCUUUUCCCUCCCCACUCUGAGCCCCUGGAACAAUGCCCGGGCCCCUCUGGCCUGUGGCUCUGACAACACACUUGCUCGCCGUUUCAUCCUCCCCUCAUUUCUUUGUCACUCUCUCUUCCUCUUUCUCCGUGUCACGGCGCUGCCUGCCGUGAUCACCGCAUGCCCCUGUGUCAUAUUGUUUUUGUCCGCGUCGGUCAGAUCCGUGUUGUGUCGCCUAAGAAUUAAAAUACGCGGUGCGUUUGGCGUGCCUUUGUGAUGC